GAUGAACGCUGGCUACAGGCUUAACACAUGCAAGUCGAGGGGAAACGACGGGGAAGCUUGCUUCCCCGGGCGUCGACCGGCGCACGGGUGAGUAACGCGUAUCCAACCUGCCUCUGACUGAGGGAUAACCCGUCGAAAGUCGGCCUAAUACCUCAUGGCAUCGUCUGCGGGCAUCCAACGACGAUUAAAGAUUUCAUCGUUCAGGGAUGGGGAUGCGUCUGAUUAGCUUGUUGGCGGGGUAACGGCCCACCAAGGCUACGAUCAGUAGGGGUUCUGAGAGGAAGGUCCCCCACAUUGGAACUGAGAACCGGUCCAAACUCCUACGGGAGGCAGGAGUGAGGAAUAUUGGUCAAUGGGCGGGAGCCUGAACCAGCCAAGUAGCGUGCAGGAUGACGGCCCUAUGGGUUGUAAACUGCUUUUAUGCGGGGAUAAAGUGAGGGACGUGUCCUUCAUUGCAGGUACCGCAUGAAUAAGGACCGGCUAAUUCCGUG
rnacentral:rRNA from 1 species